rnacentral:ncRNA from 1 species
AUUAAGUUUAAUUCUGGCUUUAAAUUCAUGUUUGAUUAUUAAAUUAGCUUAUUAAUUGAUAAUAUUAAAUAUAAGUUUUUGCGUGUAUUAAAGUUUUAUCUUAAUGAUAAUCUUUUUGUUUAUUUGUAGUUUUUAUUUUUUUGUAUUACAUAAUUGUAGAUCUUAGUUAAUUAUUAUAAAGGAUUGUUAAAGGUUGUGCCAGCAUACGCGGUUAUACAAUUGAUUCAAGUUAAUUUUUUUGGUUUGUAUUUAUAAUUAAAUUUUUGGAGAUUAUCUUUUAUUUAUUAGGUUAAAUUUUAAUUUUAAUUAUAUUCUCUUGGUUUAUUAGAUUAUAUGAAGUUUAGUUAUUAGACUAGGAUUAGAUACCCUAUUAUUCUGAAUGUAAAUUUUAACCAUGGUAUUAAUAGUUAUGAUCUUUAAAUUAAAAGAAUUUGGCGGUAAUUUAGUCUUUUCAGAGGAACCUGUUCUAUAAUUGAUAAUCCACGUUGGAUUUUACUUUAAUUUUUUGGUUUGUAUAUCUCUGUCAUUGAAUGUUUUAUUAGGAUAUUUUCUUUAAUUAUUAAUUUGGUUAAUGUCAGGUCAAGGUGCAGUUAUAUUAAAGGUUGAAAUGGGUUACAUUUAAGGUUUAUUUAUUGGUUAAAUAUCAGUUGUAAUAUUUAUUUAUUAAAAAGGAUUUGAAAGUAAUUUUUAUUAGUUUAUAAAAAUGAUUUUAGCUCUAAAUUAUGUACACAUCGCCCGUCACUCUCAUUUAUAAGAUGGGAUAAGUCGUAACAAAGUAAUUCUAUUGGAAAAUGGAGUUGGAUUUAU